rnacentral:rRNA from 1 species
UACCAGCUCCUCGAGUGGUCGGGGCGAUUAUUGGGCCUAAAGCAUCCGUAGCCGGUUCCGUAGGUCCUCUGUUAAAUCCAACCGUUUAACGGUUGACCUGCAGAGGAUACCGCGGGACUAGGAGGCGGGAGAGGCGGACGGUACUCCGCGUGUAGGGGUAAAAUCCUUUGAUCCGCGGAAGACCACCAGUGGCGAAGGCGGUCCGCCAGAACGCGCUCGACGGUGAGGGAUGAAAGCUGGGGGAGCGAACCGG